rnacentral:rRNA from 1 species
CCGGUAAACGGCGGCCGUAACUAUAACGGUCCUAAGGUAGCGAAAUUCCUUGUCGGGUAAGUUCCGACCUGCACGAAUGGCGUAAUGAUGGCCAGGCUGUCUCCACCCGAGACUCAGUGAAAUUGAACUCGCUGUGAAGAUGCAGUGUACCCGCGGCAAGACGGAAAGACCCCGUGAACCUUUACUAUAGCUUGACACUGAACAUUGAGCCUUGAUGUGUAGGAUAGGUGGGAGGCUUAGAAGUGUGGACGCCAGUCUGCAUGGAGCCGACCUUGAAAUACCACCCUUUAAUGUUUGAUGUUCUAACGUUGACCCGUAAUCCGGGUUGCGGACAGUGUCUGGUGGGUAGUUUGACUGGGGCGGUCUCCUCCUAAAGAGUAACGGAGGAGCACGAAGGUUGGCUAAUCCUGGUCGGACAUCAGGAGGUUAGUGCAAUGGCAUAAGCCAGCUUGACUGCGAGCGUGACGGCGCGAGCAGGUGCGAAAGCAGGUCAUAGUGAUCCGGUGGUUCUGAAUGGAAGGGCCAUCGCUCAACGGAUAAAAGGUACUCCGGGGAUAACAGGCUGAUACCGCCCAAGAGUUCAUAUCGACGGCGGUGUUUGGCACCUCGAUGUCGGCUCAUCACAUCCUGGGGCUGAAGUAGGUCCCAAGGGUAUGGCUGUUCGCCAUUUAAAGUGGUACGCGAGCUGGGUUUAGAACGUCGUGAGACAGUUCGGUCCCUAUCUGCCGUGGGCGCUGGAGAACUGAGGGGGGCUGCUCCUAGUACGAGAGGACCGGAGUGGACGCAUCACUGGUGUUCGGGUUGUCAUGCCAAUGGCACUGCCCGGUAGCUAAAUGCGGAAGAGAUAAGUGCUGAAAGCAUCUAAGCACGAAACUUGCCCCGAGAUGAGUUCUCCCUGACUCCUUGAGAGUCCUGAAGGAACGUUGAAGACGACGACGUUGAUAGGCCGGGUGUGUAAGCGCAGCGAUGCGU